rnacentral:lncRNA from 1 species
CCCUUUGUUAGCCUGCCUGGUCAUGGAUGAGAAGCACGCUGCUCUUGCUACCUUCUUGUGGUGGUUUGGAUCCUGAAACAUCCACCCAUUUUCAGAAUAAACUAAAAUGAUUUCUGAAUUUCUUGAAGUGACAUUUGCAUUAUUUGUCCACUGAUUGCAUUUUGAGAGCUCAGAUAAGCAGAGAGCAAUGCAAUUUGUCACGGAAGGAUGAUUAUGUAUAUGCACUGUUAUGUGUAUGUAUAUACAGUAUGUGUAUAUAUGCGUAUGUAUAUAUAGUAUGUGUAUUUCAUUUGUUCUUUUACCAUAUCCUUCAAUAUGUAUUUACUGAUGAUUUAUUAUGAGAGGCUGAGAAUAUCAAGUUAAUUAUAAUUAAUUAUAAUAAUAACUACUCUUUAUUAUGAAUAUAUUGCAUAUCAACAUUAUGCCAAAUAUUUUACAUAUAUAUAUUUCAGUUACCUAAAAACCUUUAUGAAAUAGCCCCAUUUUAUGCAUUAGUAAACCAAGAUCCAGAAAACUCAAGGGCAUGCAGCUAGUUAAUGUCAGAGCUAGGAUUCGCAUUCAGAUCUGUCUGAUGCAAAACCCAUUUCCUUAUUCACUUUGUUAAAUUGCCUUCCCAAAGAUGAAUGACAUGAUACAAAGGCAUUUACCUACUUUAUUGGAAUUCACAUUCUGGUUGGCGAAAAAGGCAUAUGAUGCAGAACAUAAAAGGCUAUAAUACAACUAUAUACAAAAUACCAUGAUUAACUCAUUCUCUUAUGGGAUGGGAGAAGGUGGGAGAGGAUAGAAGAAGGCCUCAUAGGGCAAGUCGUGGUUGAGCUAUGCCUCUGGGGUGUGGGAUAUUCACUCAGCAGAGAGAGAAAAGGUAGGGG